GUGAUCAUCAAAUUUUUGAACGCAAAUUGCGCUUCCUGGCAUCCCGGGAAGUAUGCCUGUUUGAGGUUCAGUAUUAACAAAAAAUCGGUUUGUUUGCAAAUUGUGACUUUUCCGUAGUUUGGGCUAUCUUAACUUUUUUGGUUAAGGGGCUUAAAAUUGACCUUUUUUGCGCAUUUUUAGACUUACAUAAAUUUUUUUUUUUAUUCGUCUAUUCUUAAUUCCAAAAUCUUAUUUGAUUCAAUUACAUCGUGUGGUUUCUGUUUC
rnacentral:misc_RNA from 1 species